ensembl:lncRNA
AUUUUUACUAAUUGUGCAAUUAGAUAGGAACCUUUUCUAUAGUUCCGUCUGUUGUUGCUAAGAGGGUAUUUUUGGCUGGCACACUCAGCAAGCUAAUUGAGACGAGCCACGAGGUUUGCACGUCCACAGUAAGAUAGUAAAUAGUAAGAUAAAUAAAAGAGUGCCUUUUUUGGACCUCCCCACGAUGUAAGGAUUAAAGUUUUAUUCCCUUUGAGUGAGGCCAAUGAGGUAAAUGUUUUCUUUUGUUUAUUUUCGUUGUAUGUAAAUAUGCUAGUGUUGCGUGAUAUUCUAGUGCAAUUACCGCAGUGUGAGGUGUAAUGUGUAUUUUAUUGAUUGUUUUGUUGGAAUGUUUCGCCACAUAUAAUGCUUAGGGGCUUUAUUAAGAAUAUUCAUUUAAGUUUGUAUUUCUUUUUAGUUCUGACGGCAUUGUAUCGGCUGUGGUUGGACAUCAUUACAUGUUAAGGCAUGUCGAAGAAUCCUCCUGUCCGAAAUAAAUGUCAGUUAAAACACAAGGAACAAGUUGAGCUUUAUUACGACUCGAGGGGAGUAACAAGCCCUAUAAUUAUCUACUAGUCACAAACACACUGCAACAGUAAGACUUGUUGAUUACACAUAGAUGAUUUAACUACUUUUUUCUUCAGCGCUCCGAAAAGACACAGAGGCCAAUAGUUUUAAAUAGAGCACCACAAACAACAGGUAUUCCUUUAGAAAUAAACUUUUCUUGUGUUACUUCUAAAAUCUACAGAUUCUUAACUCUGCAACAGUUAGACAGAGGGGGUUACAGUUAGGCCUCCAACAGUCAGCAAAACAAGUCAUAAAACAAUAAAAGAGGCUCCCUUAUCAAGAGCAUCCCAGCACACAUCCCAACUGUAGUUCCAUUACAAACAGUUUCCUUUAUCUUAUCAUGUCAGAGGCCAACUGAAACCAAGUCCACCUAUAUAAAAAACACCCCAUCAGACACAGUAUUUUCCUCAGCACUUCACAACUGCCGCAAGGUAUAGCGUUUUAACUUUUUUUUUUUCGGAUCCCAGACACACGGUAGUUAGCACACAGUUUGGACACGUAGAAAACAUCGUUUGUUUGAAACACAUCAGCAGAGAGGUAGAAUUCAUAGCUGUUCAUAAGAGUUUAAUUUAAUCAAACCUCAUUUUACGGAUCUAAGUGGCUCCUCAUCACUAGCCAAUUCACCAUUUUAUUUAAAUAUCUGAAUUUUCGGAAUGAGGAUCCAAGCGGGACACAGAGGAUGCUAGUUUUAACACACCAGAAUGCAAAUAUAAAUAAAAGCCUGACUAUCCUAAGAGCCUAGCUGCAGCGACACCUUUUUUUUCACACGGAUUCCUGGAUGUGCGUUCGAGCCGACUUUGCUACCCGCACAGAGCGUUUCUGCCAGUCGGGUGCUGCUUAUACAGUAGAGAAAAGCAACAGUAAAGCGUGUUUCUCUGCUCCAAGAAAUCCGAGGGCCUUUCACACAGUAAGCAUGUCUGUUAUACCCAGCGCAUAAAUGUCUCUGUGUUAGCGCUGAUUAUUCAAACCCUGUUUAAAAUGUGACACAUAUGUUAUCCAAAAACGUUUCCUCUAAAUUUGCAAAGUUACUGAUUUAAAAAUUAUAUUUUUGAAUUUUUAAUUGCAUGACAAACAUACGAUAGACUCUUGAGCAUAUUUAUAUAGCUAAAUUCACAAUGGUAUAACCGUGCUAAAUAAAAGAGGCCCAAGCACCAAAGCACUCUAAUGCAAGCCUCUAAACUGUAUGUUGAUAAGUACAUGAAGCGUACCUUUUCCUCUACAGCUGAAAACAGUCUGUAUCCAUACCUUGAGGAUCUGCUGAAUUGUUUUUAAUGGCACUUUUUUUGCUGAACUGCAGAUGAUGAUGAAUUCCUCUUUAUUGUAGAAACUGUCCCUAAGCUAUUGUUGCUCAUACUUACUGAGUUCCCUAGCUACUUCCUUACUAUGUCAGUAAACUUUUUGAAAAGGAAGCUGUUGUAGAUUUAAAGAAACAUCUUAAUUAAAGCAAAGGCAAAAAAUUGGAAUGAAUUUUAUGUGACUGUUCAUAUUAAAGCCAACAAGUGAAAAUCCAAAAACGGCUCCAAUCCUUUGCAUUAAUGAUCUCCCUCUCUCUCUCUCUGUGUGUGUGUGUGUGUGUGUGUGUGUGUGUGUGUGUGUGUGUGUGUGUGUGUGUGUGUGUGUGUGUGUGUGUGUGUGUGUGUGUGUGUGUGCACCCAAACAACCCCUAUUUCGACCAAAGGGAGGCUUUCUGGUUAAUUAAAACAUAUUUCUGUUCUUUAAGGUUUGAGUGUCUACCAACUACUGAACUUCCUUGUUCAAUAAUUUCUUUAGCAGGAAAAUGAGAGGGCUUCCCCCCAUCUAUGAGGUAAGAGUACUUGUUGUUUUUGUUGUUUAAACAUAAAUGAAAAGAUAUCUUUUUAAUACACAGGAUGAGGAAUACAUUGUUUAAUUAACAUGCUUUUUAAUACACAGGGCAAGGUAUUCUGAAAUCUUCUGCUACCUGCUGCUGGUUAUUGUUGGUUUUACUUCCUUAUAUUCAAGCAUCAGAUGUUUAAGGAGCACUACCGUAAUGCCAAAACUCCCAAUGACUAGUAAACUGGAAGAAAGACAUAAUAUAAAUUUGGAUGACACACUUAAUUUUGGACACAGCUUUCUGAAGAACCAGGAAACUGACCCGGUGACAUUUACCGCAAGAGAUCAGCACAGAAAUACACAUCCUCAGAAGUUGCCUCGCAUUAUCUUAUUCUUUGAAAUUGACUUGUAGCACACACACCUCGUGACAUACACACACACACACACACACACAGCUUACACACAGACAGCAUCGGGACCUGCGUAACAGGAAAUGUGAUUAUAUUUGCAUAUUGACGAUGUAACCUAUAAAAAUAAACGAAUACUGCAGC